UACGGAGGGGGCUAGCGUUGUUCGGAAUUACUGGGCGUAAAGCGCACGUAGGCGGCUUUGUAAGUUAGAGGUGAAAGCCCGGGGCUCAACUCCGGAAUUGCCUUUAAGACUGCAUCGCUAGAAUUGUGGAGAGGUAAGUGGAAUUCCCAGUGUAGCGGUGAAAUGCGUAGAUAUUGGGAGGAACACCUGCGGCGAAGGCGGCUACCUGGACAGAAACUGACGCUGAGGCGCGAAAGCUAGGGGAGCGAACGGG
rnacentral:rRNA from 1 species